CAGCAGCCGCGGUAAUACGUAGGGUGCGAGCGUUAAUCGGAAUUACUGGGCGUAAAGCGUGCGCAGGCGGUUAUAUAAGACAGAUGUGAAAUCCCCGGGCUCAACCUGGGACCUGCAUUUGUGACUGUAUAGCUGGAGUACGGUAGAGGGGGAUGGAAUUCCGCGUGUAGCAGUGAAAUGCGUAGAUAUGCGGAGGAACACCGAUGGCGAAGGCAAUCCCCUGGACCUGUACUGAAGCUCAUGCACGAAAGCGUGGGGAGCAAACAGGAUUAGAUACCCCUGUAGUCCCUGUCUCUUAUAC
rnacentral:rRNA from 1 species